GCCUGGGUGGCUCAGUCGGUUGGGCAUCCGACUUCGGCUCAGGUCAUGAUCUCACAGUUCGUGGGUUCCAGCCCCGCAUCAGGCU
rfam:Felis catus isolate Cinnamon breed Abyssinian chromosome C1, whole genome shotgun sequence.